UACGUAGGGUGCAAGCGUUGUCCGGAAUUAUUGGGCGUAAAGAGCUCGUAGGCGGUUCGUCGCGUCGGCUGUGAGAACCCGGAGCUCAACUCCGGGCCUGCAGUCGAUACGGGCGGACUAGAGUUCGGCAGGGGAGACUGGAAUUCCUGGUGUAGCGGUGAAAUGCGCAGAUAUCAGGAGGAACACCGGUGGCGAAGGCGGGUCUCUGGGCCGAUACUGACGCUGAGGAGCGAAAGCGUGGGGAGCGAACAGG
rnacentral:rRNA from 1 species